rnacentral:rRNA from 1 species
AUACGGAGGGUGCAAGCGUUGUUCGGAAUUACUGGGCGUAAAGCGCGCGUAGGCGGUCUGUUAUGUCAGAUGUGAAAGUCCUCGGCUCAACCGGGGAAGUGCAUUUGAAACUGGCAGACUUGAGUACUGGAGGGGGUGGUGGAAUUCCCGGUGUAGAGGUGAAAUUCGUAGAUAUCGGGAGGAAUACCGGUGGCGAAGGCGACCACCUGGCCAGAUACUGACGCUGAGGUGCGAAAGCGUGGGGAGCAAACAGGAUUAGAAACCCAGUAGUCC